CUAAGGAAAAAUCGGAAGCCAUUGAGUUCGUUUUGUUUAGUUUUGAGAGGUCUUGUGGGGCCUUAGCUCAGCUGGGAGAGCGCCUGCUUUGCACGCAGGAGGUCAGCGGUUCGAUCCCGCUAGGCUCCAUUAUCUAGGAUGCAAAGAAAUGAGAUUCUUGUUCAACUAGAUAAGAUAGGAUAGGUGUUCAACGGGUAAAGAAGUUGAACACGAACCUAAUUAGCCCAUUGAAAAUUGAAUAACGAUAUCAAAUAGUAACAAGAAAAUAAACCGAAACGCUGUGAAUAUUAAUGAGUUUAUGACUGAAAGGUCAAAAUAA
rnacentral:tRNA from 3 species